rnacentral:rRNA from 1 species
CGGGGCUAAUACCGAAUGAUAGAAUGUGGCGCAUGCCACGCUUUUGAAAGAUGGUUUCGGCUAUCGCUUACAGAUGGGCCCGCGGUGCAUUAGCUAGUUGGUAGGGUAAUGGCCUACCAAGGCAACGAUGCAUAGCCGACCUGAGAGGGUGAUCGGCCACACUGGGACUGAGACACGGCCCAGACUCCUACGGGAGGCAGCAGUAGGGAAUCUUCCGCAAUGGACGAAAGUCUGACGGAGCAACGCCGCGUGUAUGAAGAAGGUUUUCGGAUCGUAAAGUACUGUUGUUAGAGAAGAACAAGGAUAAGAGUAACUGCUUGUCCCUUGACGGUAUCUAACCAGAAAGCCACGGCUAACUACGUGCCAGCAGCCGCGGUAAUACGUAGGUGGCAAGCGUUGUCCGGAUUUAUUGGGCGUAAAGCGCGCGCAGGCGGUCUUUUAAGUCUGAUGUGAAAGCCCCCGGCUUAACCGGGGAGGGUCAUUGGAAACUGGAAGACUGGAGUGCAGAAGAGGAGAGUGGAAUUCCACGUGUAGCGGUGAAAUGCGUAGAUAUGUGGAGGAACACCAGUGGCGAAGGCGACUCUCUGGUCUGUAACUGACGCUGAGGCGCGAAAGCGUGGGGAGCAAACAGGAUU